CUGCUAAAUAGCCUAAUUAGCUUUGGCUGAUUACUGGCUUCUUAGAGGGACUAUCGAUAUCAAAUCGAUGGAAGUUUGAGGCAAUAACAGGUCUGUGAUGCCCUUAGACGUUCUGGGCCGCACGCGCGCUACACUGACGGAGCCAGCGAGUACAUAACCUUAACCGAGAGGUUUG
rnacentral:rRNA from 1 species